UACGAAGGGAGCUAGCGUUGUUCGGAAUUACUGGGCGUAAAGGGCGCGUAGGCGGUCUUAUAAGUUUGGUGUGAAAGCCCUGGGCUUAACCUAGGAACAGCAUUGAAUACUGUAAGACUUGAGACCGAGAGAGGGAAAUGGAAUUGCGAGUGUAGAGGUGAAAUUCGUAGAUAUUCGCAAGAACACCAGUGGCGAAGGCGAUUUCCUGGCUCGGUACUGACGCUAAGGCGCGAAAGCGUGGGGAGCAAACAGG
rnacentral:rRNA from 1 species